UAUUCAAAGUGUAAUAAAUAUUUUUAACUAAUUAACGAUAAAUAAAAAAUAUUUAAUAAAAUAAAGUUAAGGAGCCGGACAAACAAAAGUGAGCAAUUGAUUGAAAGCAAAAAACAAUAGAAAACUGCAUUGCUUUGUUAAGAAAUGAGAAAAACGUUUUUUUUUCAAUUAUUAAUAACUAAUUAGAUAUUUGAUUAAUAAAGUAAACAAUUAUGGAUUUUAAAUGAGCAAUUAGUGAGCAAUUAAGACCACUUAUUCAUUUUUUUCUACUAUAAAGGUUCUAUGCCAACUUUUUUGUGCUAUUCUUUGAUACUGCUUAUCGAAUUUCUUUCUGUCGAUAAAUCAAAAUUUACUAUAAAUUAAAAUUACCAGCGUUGAUCGGUAAAACAAUUACUUUUGUUGACCCGAUUUUUUUAAUUAGUCGGUAAGGAUUGUAACCAUCAAAUGAACGAAAAGGAAGAAGAGGAUCAAGUCGUUUUCAGAACGCUGCUCGAAUUAUCUCGAGUGUGCACAAUUUUGCCUGUUUAGCGCGCUCGAAUUAACUCGAGAGUACAAAUUAAGGGAUUGAGGACCUGCAAAACUAUGCUGAAUGGAUGUAAUCGUAUCGAACAGAUUCUUAAAAUCCAGUACAACGUUGCAACAACUUUCUUCUGUAAGUUUCAUUACAUUAGAACGCAAAUGUUCGGCUGCUGGGAAUGCAAGAGCUUCUUCAGGAAUGAUGUGUAUCAUAACUUGCAAACCUGUUCGAGCUUAGUUUCAACGGAUGGUCUUGCCGAAAAGUAUAAUAACGUCAUCAGGUUUAGGACUAUACCAAUGGCUAUUCCUAAUUCAAGGCCGAGGAAGAUACAUGGUAGGAGCGUUAACACCAUUACGAAAAAAUCGAUCUCUAAAAAGUUUGCCGACUUUUUUUUAU
rnacentral:lncRNA from 1 species